GCUCAGUGAGUUUACAUGUUAGAGGGAGUGGGGUAUAGUGACACAGUAACAGAGGGAUUGAAGUCCUGCUCAGUGAGUUUACAUGUUAGAGGGAGUGGGGUAUAGUGACACAGUAACAGAGGGAUGGAGGGCCUGCUCAGUGAGUUUACAUGUUAGAGGGAGUGGGGUAUAGUGACACAGUAACAGAGGGAUUGAGGCCCUGCUCAGUGAGUUUACAUGCUAGAGGGAGUGGGGUAUAGUGACACAGUAACAGAGGGAUUGA